GAUGAAGAACGUAGUGAAAUGCGAUAAGUAACGUGAAUUGCAGAAUUCAGUGAAUCAUCGAAUCUUUGAACGCACAUUGCGCCCCUUGGUAUUCCGAGGGGCAUGCCUGUUCGAGCGUCAUUAUAACCCCUCAAGCUCAGCUUGGUGUUGGGGCCUGCUGCACUGGCAGCCCUUAAAAUCAGUGGCGGCGCCAUCUGGCUCUAAGCGUAGUAAUUCUUCUCGCUAUGGAGUCCUGGUGGAUGCUUGCCAUCAACCCCCAAUUUUUCUAUGGUUGACCUCGGAUCAGGUAGGGAUACCCGCUGAACUUAAGCAUAUCAAUAAGCGGAGGA
rnacentral:misc_RNA from 1 species